ACGUCCCAACUCCUGUACUCAAAGGUCUGAACAAUGAAGAUACCAGUGAUCGGUGCCAAAGCCCCAUUGCCUAUGGAGAAGGUGAUGUUUGACUUCGUUGUACAGCUGCAGUUCGUGUAGUGAAGGUGCUCCCACAAUGUGUUUGGACGGUGAAGAUUUACGGACCGAAAUCUCAAAAUCAUGUGCAGAUCGUGAUUAAAUUAACAACAUUUGAAGAACCAAAGGUGGAGAAUCACUCGUAUAAAAUCCUGCACCACUCUCCCUCCCAGCAUUGUCGGUCUAUCUGCACCAAAUGGACUGUGAAUGGUUCAAGACAGCAGCUCAGUAUCAU